CACGUAGGGCGCAAGCGUUGUCCGGAAUUAUUGGGCGUAAAGAGCUCGUAGGCGGUCUGUCGCGUCGGCUGUGAAAACCCGGAGCUCAACUCCGGGCCUGCAGUCGAUACGGGCAAACUGGAGUGUUGCAGGGGAGACUGGAAUUCCUGGUGUAGCGGUGAAAUGCGCAGAUAUCAGGAGGAACACCGGUGGCGAAGGCGGGUCUCUGGGCAACAACUGACGCUGAGGCGCGACAGCGUGGGGAGCAAACAGG
rnacentral:rRNA from 1 species